rnacentral:SRP_RNA from 1 species
GCCGGGCGUGGUGGCUCAAGCCUGUAAUCCCAGCACUUUCGGAGGUCGAGACGGGCGGAUCACGAGGUCAGGAGAUCGAGACCAUCCUGGCUAACACGGUGAAACCCCGUCUCUACUAAAAAAUACAAAAAAUUAGCCGGGCGAGGUGGCGGGCGCCUGUAGUCCCAGCUNNNNNNNNNNAGCUGGGACUACAGGCGCCCGCCACCUCGCCCGGCUAAUUUUUUGUAUUUUUUAGUAGAGACGGGGUUUCACCGUGUUAGCCAGGAUGGUCUCGAUCUCCUGACCUCGUGAUCCGCCCGUCUCGG